UGAAUAUGGGGGGACCAUCCUCCAAGGCUAAAUACUCCUGACUGACCGAUAGUGAACCAGUACCGUGAGGGAAAGGCGAAAAGAACCCCUGUGAGGGGAGUGAAAUAGAACCUGAAACCGUGUACGUACAAGCAGUAGGAGCACCUUCGUGGUGUGACUGCGUACCUUUUGUAUAAUGGGUCAGCGACUUAUAUUCAGUGGCAAGGUUAACCGUAUAGGGGAGCCGUAGCGAAAGCGAGUCUUAACUGGGCGCUCAGUCUCUGGAUAUAGACCCGAAACCGGGUGAUCUAGCCAUGGGCAGGUUGAAGGUUGAGUAACAUCAACUGGAGGACCGAACCGACUAAUGUUGAAAAAUUAGCGGAUGACUUGUGGCUAGGGGUGAAAGGCCAAUCAAACUCGGAGAUAGCUGGUUCUCCCCGAAAGCUAUUUAGGUAGCGCCUCGGACGAAUACUACUGGGGGUAGAGCACUGUUAAGGCUAGGGGGUCAUCCCGACUUACCAACCCUUUGCAAACUCCGAAUACCAGUAAGUACUAUCCGGGAGACACACGGCGGGUGCUAACGUCCGUCGUGGAGAGGGAAACAACCCAGACCGCCAGCUAAGGUCCCAAAGUAUUGCUAAGUGGGAAACGAUGUGGGAAGGCUCAGACAGCUAGGAUGUUGGCUUAGAAGCAGCCAUCAUUUAAAGAAAGCGUAAUAGCUCACUAGUCGAGUCGGCCUGCGCGGAAGAUGUAACGGGGCUAAGCAAUACACCGAAGCUGCGGCAAUGUCUUUUAGACAUUGGGUAGGGGAGCGUUCUGUAAGCCGUUGAAGGUGAAUCGUAAGGUUUGCUGGAGGUAUCAGAAGUGCGAAUGCUGACAUGAGUAACGACAAAGGGGGUGAAAAACCUCCUCGCCGGAAGACCAAGGGUUCCUGUCCAACGUUAAUCGGGGCAGGGUGAGUCGACCCCUAAGGUGAGGCCGAAAGGCGUAAUCGAUGGGAAACGGGUUAAUAUUCCCGUACUUCUGACUAUUGCGAUGGGGGGACGGAGAAGGCUAGGUGGGCCAGGCGACGGUUGUCCUGGUUCAAGUGCGUAGGCUUGAGAGUUAGGUAAAUCCGGCUCUCUCUAAGGCUGAGACACGACGUCGAGCUACUACGGUAGUGAAGUCAUUGAUGCCAUGCUUCCAGGAAAAGCCUCUAAGCUUCAGAUAGUCAGGAAUCGUACCCCAAACCGACACAGGUGGUCGGGUAGAGAAUACCAAGGCGCUUGAGAGAACUCGGGUGAAGGAACUAGGCAAAAUGGUACCGUAACUUCGGGAGAAGGUACGCUCUUGAUGGUGAAGUCCCUCGCGGAUGGAGCUGACGAGAGUCGCAGAUACCAGGUGGCUGCAACUGUUUAUUAAAAACACAGCACUGUGCAAAAUCGCAAGAUGACGUAUACGGUGUGACGCCUGCCCGGUGCCGGAAGGUUAAUUGAUGGGGUUAGCGCAAGCGAAGCUCUUGAUCGAAGCCCCGGUAAACGGCGGCCGUAACUAUAACGGUCCUAAGGUAGCGAAAUUCCUUGUCGGGUAAGUUCCGACCUGCACGAAUGGCGUAAUGAUGGCCACGCUGUCUCCACCCGAGACUCAGUGAAAUUGAAAUCGCUGUGAAGAUGCAGUGUACCCGCGGCUAGACGGAAAGACCCCGUGAACCUUUACUACAGCUUGGCACUGAACAUUGAACCUACAUGUGUAGGAUAGGUGGGAGGCUAUGAAGACGUGACGCCAGUUGCGUUGGAGCCGUCCUUGAAAUACCACCCUUGUAUGUUUGAUGUUCUAACUUAGACCCAUUAUC
rnacentral:rRNA from 1 species